rnacentral:rRNA from 1 species
UACAGAGGUCCCAAGCGUUGUUCGGAUUUACUGGGCGUAAAGCGUGCGCAGGCGGUUUUGUAAGCCAGAUGUGAAAGCCCCGGGCUCAACCUGGGAAUGGCAUUUGGGACUGCAAGGCUUGAGUGCGGCAGAGGAGACUGGAAUUCCUGGUGUAGCAGUGAAAUGCGUAGAUAUCUGGAGGAACACCGGUGGCGAAGGCGACGUCCUGGACCGGCAUUGACGCUGAGGCGCGAAAGCCAGGGGAGCAAACGGG